rnacentral:antisense_RNA from 1 species
GCGGGAGCCCUAGGCCGCAGCCGCCGCCUGCCGGCCCGGCCCGGGUCCCAGCUGCUUCGGUGUCUGGGUGAAGUUUCCAGCCAACCCAAGAAGGAAACCGAAAGGGAAGAGGCCGAGAGAGAGGUUAAUUCCUAGUGCUUUGGUUACCGAAAACAGCCCCGCUGGGACUGCUGGGCUGGGAACUUAGCUAAGCAGUGCGGAGGCUGAACCCCACCAUCUCUGGGCUCCGCAGCAAAUCAGAAGCCCCCACCCACGAUAAGGGGAAAGUGGGGCGCAGAGGGCAGGGAGGAAGGGAAGAGAAUGGAAGGAAAGCGCGUCUGGACUUCGAACUGCAGCCCUCUCCCUCUUUCCCUUGCCUCGGAAGCUCCAGGCCCACUCAGCACCAGUUCUGUCUCCUCUUUUCAGCCGCCUUCUCUCUAGCUACUGAGGGGAAAAGUCAGGAUGAAGCGGGUCCCUCGGCCUCCAGAAAGUGUUUUAUUACAGUCGCAAACAGGUAGAGCGGCAGGCACCCCAGUGAUGACUCCCUGCUCCUUAAUUGUAGGGACGCUGACACCUCACUCAUGCUCCUAAGUGGCCAUUUUGCACCCUGGCUGGGCGAGUUAGGCGGACAAAAUGAGCCCGCAAAAGUUUAAAGGCCUCCACCAAAGUAAAGGAGUGUUUCUUUUCUGAGGUGUCAUUGUAUUCCAUCCACGAACUUUAGUUCCCCCGGGUGCUCUGGAUCUGACAUGGAGUAGGAUGCUAACGUCUAAUCCCUUCUUUCCCUUUGGAAAGAUGCAUGUUUUUUCUCGGAGUCCUAGGGAAUACCUUAGAAUACUUUCAUGGUUGUCAUUGGUACACCCAUCCCUUGAGGAGCCCUGCCACCCGUAAGUAGGACUGCAAGGAAAUACAAAAUUAAGAGAAGUAUGAACCCUGAUACCCAGGAACUUAAAAUCAGGUGUAUAAAUUUUGUACACCUAAAAAAUAUGGUACCUAAAGAGGCGAACAGCAAAACAAGCAAGAAUGUGAAUCUUUAAAAUGUUUCUACUCUUCAGCGCAGCCCAGGAAUUCUACCUAAAGUAACAUAUCCUAAGGCAACAACCAAGAAGUGUGGAAGAAUGCAUGUAAGAAGACACAGUGAUGUUUAGAAUCCUGGGGAAACGGAACAGCCAAAAAGUCUCACAGAGGUUAAGUAAAUAAUAGCAUUUUCAUACAAUGAGUACUAUGUAGUCAUUUAAAAUUAUGUCUUUCAGUACCUAGUAAUGGGGAAAAUGUAUUCAUUAUAUAUUAUUAAAGAAAAUACAGGGUA